rnacentral:rRNA from 1 species
UCUGCCUAGUAGUGGGGGAUAACUUGCCGAAAGGUAAGCUAAUACCGCAUACGUCCUACGGGAGAAAGCAGGGGACCUUCGGGCCUUGCGCUAUUAGAUGAGCCUAGGUCGGAUUAGUUAGUUGGUGAGGUAAUGGCUCACCAAGACAGCGAUCCGUAACUGGUCUGAGAGGAUGAUCAGUCACACUGGAACUGAGACACGGUCCAGACUCCUACGGGAGGCAGCAGUGGGGAAUAUUGGACAAUGGGGGGAACCCUGAUCCAGCCAUGCCGCGUGUGUGAAGAAGGUCUUAGGAUUGUAAAGCACUUUAAGUUGGGAGGAAGGGCAGUUAACUAAUAUUUGACUGUUUUGACGUUACCGACAGAAUAAGCACCGGCUAACUUCGUGCCAGCAGCUGCGGUAAUACGAAGGGUGCAAGCGUUAAUCGGAAUUACUGGGCGUAAAGCGCGCGUAGGUGGUUCGUUAAGUUAGGAGUGAAAGCCCCGGGCUCAACCUGGGAAUUGCUUCUAAAACUGGCGGGCUAGAGUAUGGUAGAGGGUGGUGGAAUUUCCUGUGUAGCGGUGAAGUGCGUAGAUAUAGGAAGGAACAUCAGUGGCGAAGGCGACCACCUGGACUGAUACUGACACUGAGGUGCGAAAGCGUGGGGAGCAAACAGGAUUAAAUACCCUGGUAGUCCACGCCGUAAACGAUGUCAACUA